rnacentral:siRNA from 1 species
UAACAAUGUUUUGGGUGAAGUU